UAUUAGAAAUUGACAUAUAUAAGAAUGGGACAUUUUAGAGGGCAUGGUCUUGCUGCCUAAAAGCAAUGAUCUCCUGAAGUACAGAGAGUCAAGAUGAAAAUGGACCUGUUUAUGCUGAUUUCCCACUUCUUUUUGGGUUCUGCUGCAGAUUUCCUUUAUUUCAAGGACCAGAGGAUGUUCAGAGGUGCUUCUGCGUUAGCCUUCCAUAAAGGAUACGUGUAUAGUGUUGUCAAGUCCACAGCAUGGCAAAUAAGAAUUUUAAGCAGCAUGAUGAUGAAUAAGAACUUUGGAACUGGAAACAAUGUACAACCCUUUGGUUGCACUCUGAUGUUUCUUUGGUAGACAUAAUUGUAAGUAGUGAUUGCUUUCUUUAAUUUAAAAUGCAAAGUUUCAAAGUGUGCCCAACGAAAAGGAUUCUCAAAA